rnacentral:rRNA from 1 species
GGGUUGUGAGGUUAAGCGACUAAGCGUACACGGUGGAUGCCCUGGCAGUCAGAGGCGAUGAAGGACGUGCUAAUCUGCGAUAAGCGCCGGUAAGGUGAUAUGAACCGUUAUAACCGGCGAUUUCCGAAUGGGGAAACCCAGUGUGACUCGUCACACUAUCAUUAACUGAAUCCAUAGGUUAAUGAGGCGAACCGGGGGAACUGAAACAUCUAAGUACCCCGAGGAAAAGAAAUCAACCGAGAUUCCCCCAGUAGCGGCGAGCGAACGGGGAGGAGCCCAGAGCCUGAAUCAGCAUGUGUGUUAGUGGAAGCGUCUGGAAAGGCGCGCGAUACAGGGUGACAGCCCCGUACACAAAAGCGCAUGUGCUGUGAGCUCGAUGAGUAGGGCGGGACACGUGGUAUCCUGUCUGAAUAUGGGGGGACCAUCCUCCAAGGCUAAAUACUCCUGACUGACCGAUAGUGAACCAGUACCGUGAGGGAAAGGCGAAAAGAACCCCGGCGAGGGGAGUGAAAAAGAACCUGAAACCGUGUACGUACAAGCAGUGGGAGCACCCUUUGGGGUGUGACUGCGUACCUUUUGUAUAAUGGGUCAGCGACUUAUAUUCUGUAGCAAGGUUAACCGUAUAGGGGAGCCGGAGGGAAACCGAGUCUUAACCGGGCGUUAAGUUGCAGGGUAUAGACCCGAAACCCGGUGAUCUAGCCAUGGGCAGGUUGAAGGUUGGGUAACACUAACUGGAGGACCGAACCGACUAAUGUUGAAAAAUUAGCGGAUGACCUGUGGCUGGGGGUGAAAGGCCAAUCAAACCGGGAGAUAGCUGGUUCUCCCCGAAAGCUAUUUAGGUAGCGCCUCGUGAAUUCAUCUCCGGGGGUAGAGCACUGUUUCGGCUAGGGGGCCAUCCCGGCUUACCAACCCGAUGCAAACUGCGAAUACCGGAGAAUGUUAUCACGGGAGACACACGGCGGGUGCUAACGUCCGUCGUGAAGAGGGAAACAACCCAGACCGCCAGCUAAGGUCCCAAAGUCAUGGUUAAGUGGGAAACGAUGUGGGAAGGCCCAGACAGCCAGGAUGUUGGCUUAGAAGCAGCCAUCAUUUAAAGAAAGCGUAAUAGCUCACUGGUCGAGUCGGCCUGCGCGGAAGAUGUAACGGGGCUAAACCAUGCACCGAAGCUGCGGCAGCGACACUCAGGUGUUGUUGGGUAGGGGAGCGUUCUGUAAGCCUGCGAAGGUGUGUCGUGAGGCAUGCUGGAGGUAUCAGAAGUGCGAAUGCUGACAUAAGUAACGAUAAAGCGGGUGAAAAGCCCGCUCGCCGGAAGACCAAGGGUUCCUGUCCAACGUUAAUCGGGGCAGGGUGAGUCGACCCCUAAGGCGAGGCCGAAAGGCGUAGUCGAUGGGAAACGGGUUAAUAUUCCCGUACUUGGUGUUACUGCGAAGGGGGGACGGAGAAGGCUAUGUUGGCCGGGCGACGGUUGUCCCGGUUUAAGCGUGUAGGUGUGUGUUCCAGGUAAAUCCGGUUCACUUUAACACUGAGGCGUGAUGACGAGGCACUACGGUGCUGAAGCAACAAAUGCCCUGCUUCCAGGAAAAGCCUCUAAGCAUCAGGUAACAUCAAAUCGUACCCCAAACCGACACAGGUGGUCAGGUAGAGAAUACCAAGGCGCUUGAGAGAACUCGGGUGAAGGAACUAGGCAAAAUGGUGCCGUAACUUCGGGAGAAGGCACGCUGACAC